CCUACGUGAGGCAGCAGUAGGGAAUAUUGCUCAAUGGGGGAAACCCUGAAGCAGCAACGCCGCGUGAGUGAUGAAGGUUUUAGGAUUGUAAACUCCUGUUGUGAGAGAAGAUAAUGACGGUAUCUCACGAAUAAGCACCGGCUAACUCCGUGCCAGCAGCCGCGGUAAUACGGAGGGGGCGAGCGUUACUCGGAUUCACUGGGCGUAAGGAGUGCGUAGGCGGGCUUUUAAGUCAGAUGUGAAAUACUGGAGCUUAACUAUAGAACUGAAUUUGAAACUAUGAGUCUAGAGUGUGGGAGAGGUAGGUGGAAGUCGUGGUGUAGGGGUAAAAUGCGUAGAUAUCAAGAAGAAUACUCAUUGCGAAGGCGAUACACUGGACCAUUACUGACGCUGAUGCACGAAAGCGUGGGGAGCAAACAGGAUUAGAUACCCGUGUAGUC
rnacentral:rRNA from 1 species